CCUACGGGUGGCAGCAGUGGGGGAUAUUGCACAAUGGGGGAAACCCUGAUGCAGCGACGCCGCGUGGGUGAAGAAGCGCCUCGGCGCGUAAAGCCCUGUCAGCAGGGGAGAAAAUGACGGUACCUGAAGAAGAAGCCCCGGCUAAUUACGUGCAGGCAGCGGCGGCAAUACGUAGGGGGCAAGCGUUAUCCGGAUUUACUGGGUGUAAAGGGGGCGUAGACGGCGAUGCAAGCCAGGAGUGAAAGCCCGGGGCCCAACCCCGGGACUGCACUUGGAACUGGGUGGCUAGAGUGCAGGAGGGGCAGGCGGAAUUCCUGGUGUAGCGGUGAAAUGCGUAGAUAUCAGGAGGAACACCGGUGGCGAAGGCGGCCUGCUGGACUGCAACUGACGUUGAGGCCCGAAAGCGUGGGGAGCAAACAGGAUUAGAUACCCUAGUAGUC
rnacentral:rRNA from 1 species